AAAGUUAAGUAGUUUAAGUUGUGUGCAAGUGGUAGGAGAGCGUUCUAUUUGCGUCGAAGGUAUACCGGUAAGGAGUGCUGGAGCGAAUAGAAGUGAGCAUGCAGGCAUGAGUAGCGAUAAUUAAUGUGAGAAUCAUUAACGCCGUAAACCCAAGGUUUCCUACGCGAUGCUCGUCAUCGUAGGGUUAGUCGGGUCCUAAGUCGAGUCCGAAAGGGGUAGACGAUGGCAAAUUGGUUAAUAUUCCAAUACCAACAUUAGUGUGCGAUGGAAGGACGCUUAGGGCUAAGGGGGCUAGCGGAUGGAAGUGCUAGUCUAAGGUCGUAGGAGGUUAUACAGGCAAAUCCGUAUAACAAUACUCCGAGAACUGAAAGGCUUUUUGAAGUCUUCGGAUGGAUAGAAGAACCCCUGAUGCCGUCGAGCC
rnacentral:rRNA from 1 species